AACGAACGCUGGCGGCAUGCCUAACACAUGCAAGUCGAACGAGACCUUCGGGUCUAGUGGCGCACGGGUGCGUAACGCGUGGGAACCUGCCCUUAGGUUCGGAAUAACUCAGAGAAAUUUGAGCUAAUACCGGAUAAUGUCUUCGGACCAAAGAUUUAUCGCCUUUGGAUGGGCCCGCGUAGGAUUAGCUUGUUGGUGGGGUAAUGGCCUACCAAGGCGACGAUCCUUAGCUGGUCUGAGAGGAUGAUCAGCCACACUGGGACUGAGACACGGCCCUGACUCCUACGGGAGGCAGCAGUGGGGAAUAUUGGACAAUGGGCGAAAGCCUGAUCCAGCAAUGCCGCGUGAGUGAUGAAGGCCUUAGGGUUGUAAAGCUCUUUUACCAGGGAUGAUAAUGACAGUACCUGGAGAAUAAGCUCCGGCUAACUCCGUG
rnacentral:rRNA from 1 species